ensembl:lncRNA
CUCGGGUUUAGUUUGUAAGGCUGCCUUCAAUCCCAUCUUUCCCCUGUUCCCCUGCUCUCCAGGUGCUCAGCAGUGGUUGGGAUUGCAGGUGGCAGCCGUGGCAGUGAUGGAUUUUCACCUCAUUCCUGCACCAGGGGCUCUCAGUCACUCAGGGCCUGAAUGUUGGUGCAGUUCCCAAGAUGAGGCUCAAAAUCGAUCCCUGGAGUGGGAACUUCUGCACAGCCUUGGAAAUGGGACCCAGGGAGGAAACUGUGGCCAAGGAGAGAUCUUGGUGUCCAGGUUGAAGGUGUUGGAAGCUGCCAGAGCCACUGAUUCCAAUUUGUGUUUCUCCAUCUGCAUGGAAAAUCCAUCUGCUUGCAGAAAUUGUAUUUACACAGCCCAUAAUCCUGAGCAGCCUCAGAUAUUGGGGAUUGAGGCUCUAACGACAUUGGAAACCAUUUUUAUUAAGAGGCAGAAAUUGAAUUAGGUAAUUAUAUUUAUUGAUGGGAAAUUAAAUUUAACAACUGUGAAUUGCCUUAAGUCAGUGUAGCCAGAUUUUCAUUACUCCAAAUGCGAGGAGUUGCUGCUUUAGUGGAUUCUGCUCAGCUCGGGAGGGGCAGCCUGGGGUUGGGGCUGGAAAAGGGGAUUUAGGAUCAGAAAACUCCCACCCCCUGCCUGGGUGUUCCUUCAUGGGUGAAACAAAUCUGGUUUGUUUUUUAACAGCCUUUCACUUCACUGUGAAGUGCCCAGCAUCCCCAGCCAGGGCACUCUGCAGGGGAGAAAAUGGCCUCAAAUUCCUACAAAAAUGAGGUAAAAAAAGGAAUUUUCCUGCUGUGGUGGAGCCAAGGUCCUCCCUGCACAUCGAGGUAAAAAAGGGAAUUUUCCUGCUGUGGUGGAGCCAAGGUCCUCCCUGCACAUCUGAGUUGUCUCCCUCUAGUUCCUGAUCAAAAUUCAAAGUUGGAGUGAAUUUUGUGGGCCUGAGAUCCCAUGUUUUAUGUUUGUGCUCCCAAACUCCAGCUCCGAGGUUGACUUUUCCUGUUCCUGAAAAAACUGAAUUUUGCAUCACUGUCCAAUAGCUCCAUCACUGUCCUGGAGCUGUGACCUGCAAACUCAUAAUUCCAUAACAAAAUCCACCCCAGCAGCCACCAGUGGGGCAGGGAGAUCCUUGGAAUACAAAACCGACAGGGAGGAACAGGAAACACUGAAGACAACCUGGAAACCUGGGAAAGCCAGAUUUGCACCAAAAAGCAUUCAAUCAACACCCAGGAAGAAGGAAUUUCAUGUUCUCUGUAAAAAUCUUCAAUUUUCCAUGCCUGUAAGUUUCCCUGCACAUCAGAAUUUUGUUAUCUUCUCAAGAUAAACAAUUUUCCUUCUCUUAAUUCCCAUUAAUUCCCAAUAUGACUUUUAACUUCACCUGUCCUUUCCCUUUUCAUGCUCCCAGCUCCUUCCCACAGGGCACACCUCCCAUUCACUUGUCACCAAAAAUCCUUUUAAAUCCAUCCUAACCUCCCUGGUACUCCACUGCUUUUCUCCUUCUUGCACUUUUUAUUCCUUUUAUUCCUGCCCACAUCCAGUGGCUGGGCCCAGGGAACUCAUUCACAAGCUGCUCACUUCUCCCCCUGUAAUUACUUCUCACUGCUGUUGUCUUUAUUGAGAUGCCUGUCUUUGGGGUUAUUUCAGAUUUAUCUAUUUUAAUAUUUCAGCCCCUGUUUUUAUAGCCUUUGGAUUGUUCAGUGAUCUUUGAUUGCAUAAUUGAAAUGUAUUUUCCUGCCUCCUUUAAACUCCUGAAUUGGCAGGCAAACUCACUUGGCUUUUCUGUUAGUCUCUUCAAGGCUUUUUGAUUGAUUCCAGCAAGGAUCUAUCUUUUCUUUUUCCUGAUAGUUCCUUUUAUUAUCUCAAUAAAACCUCCCGUGUCAGCUCA